GCCUGCUCUCUGGCUGCAGGGUGAACUACGACUCCCACCACUUGGGUGAGUUCCUCUGCUCCAACCCUUCCCGGAGGUUGAGUGAGUCACGGGGUUCCUCACGUGUGACACGUGUGGUCCAGGCCCACCAUCGGUGGAGGUCCCCGUUUCCCUGGUGGUGGGUGAACUACGACUCCCAGGAAGGAAGACCCUUCCCUCCCAUCCCCUGCAGGCAUCCCAUUCCAGCAGAUCGGGUCUUCGUGCCAAGUGGGGCCCAGAUCCCUCCGUGUUUGGGGUCACGGUGCUCUCGGGAUGGAGGGGAACGACAACUCCCCCAAAUCAAGGGGAAUUCCCCCCAAAGACCUCCAGUGUUUUUUGCUGGUCACGGGGGUUCUGUGGGCCAAGUGAGUCCCAGGUCCAUCCUUGGUGGGGUUCUGCAGUUCGUAGGUGGCAGGUGAACUAGACAUCCCGGUCCUUGCAAGUCCUGUCAAUCAGGGGGAAUUCUGCCCAGACCCCUCUCUCUCGUAUGUUCAGGUGCUGACCAGUUCCUCUGCUUGCUGUGAGAACAUAGGAAAGGACGGGAUGUGGAAUGGAACUGGCCUGGCCCCGCCCCCUGCCUCUCCCUGAACCCUUUCCUGCCCUUUCCCAUGGCACACAGCGACUGGACUCACCCGAGAGAGAGGUUUGGGGAGGAUUCGCCCUGACUGAGAGGAGUCUUGGGGGACCGGGGUGUGUAGUUCACCCACGAUGGACCCGGGACUCGCUCGCACGCAGGCCCAACACGGCCCCCUUUGCCUCCCGGGCCGGGCUGUGGCGCAGCUGCAAAGAGUCACGACUGACCGAGAGGUCGUGGGGUGGAAGCCCGGGUGGGAUUGAGCUCCCGACCGGGAAGAGCCUGGCUCUCUGCCCACCUGAGCAGCCCCAAAGACAGUUGCAUCUCUCGAGUAGACAAUUCUAGGUACCGCUUUAUGCGGGGAGGCCAAUUUAAGUCAUUUAAAUUAAUAAUUUAAGUCACAAGAGCCAGGCUGGGAGGGGCGCCCUCCGAACGGUCUCUGUGCUGGGCGGGGCUUCGAGAGGCAAGGCCCCGCCCUCCGCUUGCUCAGCCCAUGAGGCCCCUCCCUUCCCCUGCCAGGCCAAGGCCCCGCCCCUCCCUCCCGUCUCACUCAGAGGAGGAGGAGUCUCGAAGGGAUAAGCCCCGCCCCCUUUCGUGACGGAAUGAACCUCGCAACGAAGAGGGGGCGGGGCCUCCAUCCUGCCCUCAGAAGCCGCCUUCUUUCUCGCCCCUCCUUGUCACCCGUCCAUCAAGGCCGGAGCCAAUAGGGGCCCGCUCGUGGGCGGGGCGUCACGGACUCGGCCAAUGGGGGGCGAGGGGCGGCGGAGGGGCGGGGCUUCUUUCUGGCUGGGCCUGCGCAGAGCCUCUCUCGCCGCCAUUGUUUUCUGAGGCGCUUCCUCUGGAGCCGCGAAGGAGGAGAGAGAGAGAGAGAGAGAGAGAGAGAGAGAGAGAGAGAGAGAGAGAGAGAGAGAGAGAGAGAGAGGUUUGUGUUUAUAUUGAUAUUGAGAUUGAUCUUCUAUCCGGAUUGAGUGUCUCUGGGUCUCUCUUGGGAAGGAGGAGGGGGCGGGGCCUGCCUCCCUCCCGGAAGAAACGAGGCCUCAAUGGCCGCCGAGGCCCCCCCUCCCCCCUCCCCCUCCCUUUGGACUUGUUUGUUUAUGUGUUUAUUGUUUACUGCAUUUCUAUCCCGCCCUUCUCACCCCGAAGGGGACUCACAGCGGCUUAGCAAUGGGAAAUGAAGUCACCACAGGCAUAAAAAGAAAAUAUCAAUAUCUAGGGGAGAUUGAGGAAUUUGGAAACCAAAGGGCAAUAAUGAAAGAAAUCCUGUGGAAAGAAGAAAUCCUCUCUAGGUGCCAAUCUUGUGAAACUCAAUUUUGACCAGAAAGAAAAAGGGAACACUCACGUGUCCAUAUCACAUAACUGUCGACAUGGAGGAGAAACCCUGUACAUGCCUUGAGUGUGGAAAGAGAUUCAGUUGGAGGAGCAGGCUGCUACUGCAUGAAAGGACUCACACUGGGGAGAAACCCUAUAACUGCCUGGAGUGUGGACAGAACUUUGCUCAUAGGGGAAGUCUAGUUUCACAUCACAGGACUCACACUGGGGAGAAACCCUAUAAGUGCCUGGAGUGUGGACAGAGCUUUGCUCGGAGGGAAAACCUAAGUUCACAUCAAAGGACUCACAUUGGGCAAAAACCGUAGAAAUGCGUGGAAUGUGGACAGAGAUUUUCAUGGAAUAACAUUAUACAUAAAUUCAUCGUGGAGAGAAUGGUGUUAAUUGACCCCAGGGUGUCAUUCUAAUAUGUACAAAAGCAACGCUUGCAAAUUUUGGAAAUGCGAGCUCAAAGUUGGGACUUUUCUUGCAGUGGCAAGAGUAUGGAAAGGAAAGAGAACUCCAACAAUAGAAGAAUGGAUUUUAAAAGUACUUGACAUUAUACAAAUGGACAAUCUAACGCAAAAUAUAAGAGAUGGGAAAAAUUAAACGGACUGGACAAAGUGUUGUCGAAGGCUUUCAUGGCCGGGAUCACAGGGUUGUUGUAUGUCUUUCGGGCUGCAGGAGUCUACUGGAUACCAUGCAGCUGUGGACAAGUCUACAUAGGGACCACCAAACGCAGCAUUGCCCAAACAAGAGUCAAAGAACAUGAAAGGCACUGCAGACUAAGUCAACCAGAGAAAUCAGCCAUAGCAGAGCACUUGAUGCAUCAGCCUGAACACAGGAUAUUAUUUGAGAACACAGAAAUGCUGGACCAUUCCAACAACUAUCAUGUCAGACUACACAGAGAAGCCAUUGAAAUCCACAAGCAUGUGGACAACGUCAACAGAAAGGAAGAAACCAUGAAAAUGAACAAAAUCUGGCUACCAGUAUUAAAAAACUCUAAAAUCAAAACAAUAGAUGGGAACCAACAGUCUGAGGGCAGAAGACAGAUAAUGACUGAACAAAGGAUGCCCCCCGGCAAGAGACAAAAUCUUUCCAAUGCUAAUUAGGGUGAUUAACUGAAACAUUAAUGCUGGCUUCCCAGUGACAAAGGACUCUUGCCACACCUUGGACUCUACACAGAUAUAUAUUCUUUCCUUUCCUUACUUAGUUUAUCCAUACCUCACAACCUCUGAGGAUGCCUGCCAUAGAUGUGGGCGAAACGUCAGGGAAGAAUACUUCUGGAACAUGGCCACACAGCCUGAAAGACAUACAACAACCCCGGACUGGACAAACUUUACAGAAUUUAUGAGAAAAAGAAAACUGGGCUUUGAUAUAGAUCUGUCUUAGAUAUAAAGACUAUACUAACGAAGGAGUGAAAUAAACAAACAGGAAAAAUCAGGAAACUGAAGGAAGAUUCUCCAAAGCACAGAUGGGAAGUCAACUCACUAUAUAUAUAAUCGUUUUCCUUUUUUCUUUUGUUUUAAAAUAUUGUUAUAUUCUAUAUGUGUAUGUGUAUAUAUAUACACCUUUUUUCUUCCCUUUUCUUUGUCCUCUGUAAGCUAUUCACUCUACCUUUCUAUCUACCUAUACAAUGUUCUCCCACUUUUGAUGUAAUAUACCACAUAAAUCAAAUAGAAAUACACACACAACAAAGUUGGGACAUUUCAUCACAUGUGGUGUAUUGUGGUAGAAAGAUUGAACUAAAAUACGUUCCAUUCUGGAACGUAAUUGAGGUUAAAUGAAACUAGAGUUUUAUAUGUUGAGAAUGUUGGAUGAUCAAUUAGAAUGAAAACAUGGAUAGUGACUGCAAGAUACUAAAGUGAGAUUUGACUGUACACAGGGAUGGAAGGAAUGUUUUAUUCCAAAGCAAAAAGAAUGGCUUAUGAGGAUCUGCAAAUUAGCCAAAGUGAACAAACUGACAACAACAUGGGCAAAUGUCAGUUGUAAUAUUAAUUGGAAGAGUGUUAUCAGAAAUAGAAGUGUGGUUAUGUUAUAUUAUCUGAAGGGAGUAGAAUAAUGAGAGAUAAAAAUUAACAGAUCGAAUGAGGCCUUUAGGCACGUAUCCCUGUCUGUUUGUUUGUUCAGCUGUGUGUCUAUGUAGGUCACUGUUUUGCUGGUCUGUUUGUUUCUGCAUUAGUUUUGUAUCUCAUGCAGUAGUUAGUUGCCUGUGUAGUUGAAGCAUUAUAUAUACAGUAGAGUCUCGCAUAUCCAACCUCUGCUUAUCCAACGUUCUGUAUUAUCCAACGCAGUUUGCCUUUUAGUAGUCAAUGUUUUUGUAAUCAAUGUUUUCAAUACAUUGCGAUGUUUUGGUGCUAAGUUCAUUAAUACAGCAAUUACUACAUAACGUUACUGUGUACUGAACUGCUUUUUUCUGCCAAUUUGUUGUAAAACAUGGUGUUUUUUAUCAAUGAAUUCUCUGAGUGCCUUUUUCUCUGGCUCUGACAUUACACAUAGUUUUGGUUUUGGUAAUUUGGCGUUUGUGUCUAUUUCAAUCGCACAGUCAGUUUUCCUAUGGGGGGGCGGGUAAUUGGUCACUCUCUCUUUCGCUGAAAACAUCUGCAAAAUCCUGAUAAACUUUGGGGAUGUUCUCCAUUGGCACAUCUUGUUCUCCAUUGGCACAUUAGCACCCCUUCCGGCUUUAAUUCUCUUAUGCGCCUCAGAGAGCUCUCAAAGUUGCAAGUCCCAUCCCAGAAUGUGUUUACGGGCGUUCAAAACAGAUCUUGGCCAUUUCCCGAUAGUUCCAGCCGUUAAGGACAGUUUUGUACUUCCCUGCUACUUGUAGAUACUAAUUCAGUUACUACUGACAAUGUUGCGAAGUUUUGUGCAUCCAGGGGAUGACUGGUCCCAAAAGUGACCAAUGUAUCCAGUAAUCAUCUCUCUUGAUAGACCUCUGUGUUGUAUGUUUUUGCCCUGUUUCCCUUUCCGAUCCCCCCCCCCCUGUAUUGUGCUUUUGUAACUUUAUAUUUUAAAUGUACUAAAUGUACCAAGUUUGUAUGUAACUGUGACCUUUAUUUCCUGUGCUGGUCUAUGACCGAAAUAAAUGAUUGGAUUUGAAA